rnacentral:rRNA from 1 species
UACGUAGGGUCCGAGCGUUGUCCGGAAUUACUGGGCGUAAAGAGCUCGUAGGUGGUUUGUCGCGUUGUUCGUGAAAACUCACAACUCAAUUGUGGGCGUGCGGGCGAUACGGGCAGACUUGAGUACUGCAGGGGAGACUGGAAUUCCUGGUGUAGCGGUGGAAUGCGCAGAUAUCAGGAGGAACACCGGUGGCGAAGGCGGUUCUCUGGGCAUUACCUGACGCUGAGGAGCGAAAGUGUGGGGAGCGAACAGG